GAUGAACGCUAGCGGCAGGCUUAAUACAUGCAAGUCGAGGGGCAGCAUGAAUGUAGCAAUACAUUUGAUGGCGACCGGCAAACGGGUGCGGAACACGUACACAACCUUCCUAUAAGUGGGGAAUAGCCCAGAGAAAUUUGGAUUAAUACCCCGUAACAUAAUGAUGUGGCAUCACAUUAUUAUCAUAGCUACGGCGCUUAUUGAUGGGUGUGCGGCUGAUUAGAUAGUUGGCGGGGUAACGGCCCACCAAGUCUACGAUCAGUAGCUGAUGUGAGAGCAUGAUCAGCCACACGGGCACUGAGACACGGGCCCGACUCCUACGGGAGGCAGCAGUAAGGAAUAUUGGUCAAUGGACGCAAGUCUGAACCAGCCAUGCCGCGUGAAGGAUUAAGGUCCUCUGGAUUGUAAACUUCUUUUAUCUGGGACGAAAAAAGGCGAUUCCUCGUCACUUGACGGUACCAGAUGAAUAAGCACCGGCUAACUCCGUGCCAGCAGCCGCCCGUAAGAC
rnacentral:rRNA from 1 species